rnacentral:rRNA from 1 species
AGGGUGUAAACGCUGCGGGCUUGGUGUUGGGGGUCCUUUGAGGGCGCCCAGUGCCGGAGGGAAGUUGUUAAGCCUGCUGCUUGGGGAGUACGUCCGCAAGGAUGAAACUUAAAGGAAUUGGCGGGGGAGCACCGCAACGGGAGGAGCGUGCGGUUCAAUUGGAUUCAACGCCGGAAAUCUUACCGGGACCGACAGCAACAUGAAGGCCAGGCUGAAGACUUUGCCGGAUUAGCUGAGAGGUGGUGCAUGGCGUAGUCGUGU